GAUCACCCAUUUGCGAAACGUCGGCCUCCGGAGCCGAAGGUCGAAGGUUCGAAUCCUUCUGCGUUCGCCA
rnacentral:tRNA from 1 species